GACGAACGCUGGCGGCGUGCUUAACACAUGCAAGUCGAACGGAAAGGCCCUGCUUGCAGGGUACUCGAGUGGCGAACGGGUGAGUAACACGCGGGUGGUCUGCCCUGCACUUCGGGAUAAGCCUGGGAAACUGGGUCUAAUACCGGAUAGGAGCCAUUUUUCGUGUGAUGGUUGGAAAGUUUUUUCGGUGUAGGAUGAGCUCGCGGCCUAUCAGCUUGUUGGUGGGGUAAUGGUCUACCAAGGCGGCGGCGGGGAGCCGGACUGGGAGGGUGGCCGGCCACAGUGGGACUGAGAUUCGGCCCAGACUCCGACGGGAGGGAGCGGUGGGGAAGGUUGAACAAUGGGCGCAAGCCUGAUGCAGAGACGCCGCGUGGGGGAUGACGGCCUUGGGGUUGUAAACUCCUUUCGCUAGGGACGAAGCUUUUUGUGACGGUACCUAGAGAAGAAGCACCGGCUAACUACGUG
rnacentral:rRNA from 1 species